rnacentral:rRNA from 1 species
CAAGUCUUGACAUCCACUAAAUCCCACAGAAACGUGGGAGUGCCCUUCGGGGAAUAGUGAGACAGGUGGUGCAUGGUUGUCGUCAGCUCGUGUCGUGAGAUGUUGGGUUAAGUCCCGCAACGAGCGCAACCCCUAUCCUAUGUUGCCAGCAAGUAAAGUUGGGGACUCAUAGGAGACUGCCGGUGACAAACCGGAGGAAGGUGGGGAUGACGUCAAAUCAUCAUGCCCCUUAUGACUUGGGCUACACACGUGCUACAAUGGCAGGUACAGAGGGAAGCGAAGCCGCGAGGUGAAGCAAACCCCAAAAAGCCUGUCCCAGUUCGGAUUGUAGUCUGCAACUCGACUACAUGAAGUUGGAAUCGCUAGUAAUCGCAGGUCAGCACACUGCGGUGAAUACGUUCCC